UCUUAUUAGAAAAAAAGAGAGAAUGCGAUGUGUUCGAUAAGGGAUAAAAAAAAAGAAAAAAGGAGACACGUUAUAGAAACUUUGGCAGUGCGUCAAGAUGAACGUUUCCAAAACGUGGAGAUUGACUAAUCUUCGAUGACGAUCCUUCGAUUGAACUAAAUAACAAAUAUAUAUAUAUGUAUGUAUAUAUAUGUGGUAUAAAAAAAAAAUUGGGACGAAACGUAACGCAGACUUAACGAUACCACUUUACACGUAUAAUGAAUGAGCUUAAAUGAGCUUAAAAAUUAUAUUAGCCAGUGGAGAAAAAUUUUGAGAAAUCAAAAAAAUUUAACUUUGGUUUCCUUUGGUCAAAACUUAUUCUAACAAUAUCAUAUAAUCAUAUAUUUCAGAAUCGAUAAAAGUUUUAAAUUCCAAAAGUCGAAAGUAAGUAACUUGUACAAUAUUUAUAAUAGCAUAAAAUAGAGGACAGAAGGUUAAAUCUUUUCUUUAUUACCAAUCGAACCUCCGUUACUCUUUACAAUUAUUCAUACAAUUAGAGAGUUCGUUUUUAUGCAUAACAGUUCUUUCUCUCCUCCUUUAUUUCUCUCUAUCUCUCUCUCUUCCUCUUUAUUUUCUUUCGCUUCUCUGUCAUCAUUUCUUCGAUUACACAAUCUUCUUCCAUUCACGCAAUGCCUUUCUUUUUUUUUCUUUUCUUCUUCUUUUUUUUUUUUUUAAUUAUCAUUCUUACCAUUGUUAUUAAUAUUUCUCUCUCGCUUAUUCUUUAACGCUUUAACGAGUGAAAUGAUCCUUUCGUUCGAUGAUCUUUCGAGACAGAAAUAUCCGAUUGAUGCAUCUUGUUUGCUCCAUCUCGUUUGUCGUUUUCGUUAAUUAUAUACACAACGUAUGUACGCGACGUGCAAUUGUACUAACAGGCCAUGAUGCAGUCAUCGACGAAGUUAAUCGAUGAGUACGUUGCCAUCGAUCGAACUGCAAACGAAUUACGAUUCCACGACACGAAUAUAGACCGUGUGUUUCGUAUACGGAGAGGCUCACUGGUACAAAUGAAUAUUCUCUAAGACAGAGACAGAGACAGAGACAGAGACAGAGACAGAGACAGAGACAGAAAGAGAGAGAAAGAGACGAAUUUUGCUACUUUUCACUUUUCUUCUCGUUUUGUACAUGUGCUAUUAUACACGUAGCAAUAGAAUCUAGAAGAAUCUCCGAUACGAAAGAUUUUAAAACUUAACUGCUUUUUGCUUCUCAAGUAGAGUCCUAUUUUUUUUCUUUUUUUUAAAUUCUAUUUACAUGAUUCACUCUGUACAUACGUAAGAAUACAAAAUGCCUCUCCCCAAAAACUGACGAUGAUUCAACAAGAAAAGAAUAAUCGAAUUUUUCGAUACGGUCGCCAUCUAUUCAUCGAUCAUCCGAGGUUGCGGUUACAUAAUCGAAAAACCUUUACAUACACGCUUACAUAGAAGGGGGCGCUUUCGCGCGACGGAAAUAACAAAAGCGUUUGGAAAGUUUAGACGUCUCAAGUGUACAAGUGUUUCGUGCGUGUUCCGGUGUCGAGAAAACUGUAUUUAAUAUCUAAAAUAGAAGAGAAUGAAAAUUUGGGGAAUAUCGACGAGAAACACGUGAAUCAUUUUUAUCAGUACCAGAUAACAAAUGGUGGUCAGAUUUCAAGUGAAUGCAAGUAUAUUCCGGUAAAUAAUAUUUCAAUCCUCUCGGGAUCGAUUUAUCAUUUGAAAAAUUAUCGGUAAAAGAAAAACAUUUACUCGCCUUCAUGCACACAAUCUAUUUGGUUAAUUUCUAGAAAUUUUUCCCUCGCGUUGUUAAUACGUUGUUACGUGCGCAUAGUUGUAUUCGGAUCAAGGACUCUAAAAGUUUUUCACGAUGAAGGUUAAGGUAAGGAUGAGACACAGAAAACGAACGAAACGAGAAAUAUAUUAAUGUGAAGUAGUUAACCGUUAAAUCGAUAUAUCGUUUUUACCGAACAAGACCUUUCAAUCAUAAUGCGAAUUUCACGAAACUUAAAAAAGUCAACAAUGCGUCAACGUGUAUGCGAGCUGCUUUAUACAAGCGCUGUACAAGUGUAUAAUCACGGUCGAUUGUCAUGGAGAGAAAUUACGUACUUAGUUUCUUCUUUCUUUCUUUUCUCUCUCUCUGUUCACGCCUCUUCGCGGUCAACUUAUAUUAAUCAUUUUCAUCCGCGUACGCUUUCGCCGCAUAUAUCGAAGAUACGAUGAACGAAGAGAGAGAAAAAAAAAGUUUCUGGGAUGUUACUGGGACGAAAUGAGAAGAAAGAAGAGGGGGAAAAGGAUGGAAGAAGGGGAACGCGAAACAAGGGGGUUCAUUAUAUGCCUCCCGGUGUCGCAGCACUUCCAUUGUUUCUUCUCAGGGACGUGCUGUGUGUGACACACGGGGAUUCGCUCGACUACCACCUUUCUUUCUCUCUCUCUCUCUCAAAUUUUUCCUUUUUUUUUUUAUUUUUGAACAACUAUCAUUACGAGUACCACCUUUUCUCUCGAACAGAUUUUUGAGCGCUUUCUUUUUUUUUUUUCACGAAUUGUAACGAUGUUAACGAUGAAAAGAAAACGAAACCAAAUCUCUCUUUCUCUCUCUCUCUAACGCGAAUAUAAAACGCGAAGCCUUUGACAAUGCGAAUUUCAUCUGGAGCGCGGACGGACAACGGGCAUUGAACGAGAUCGCUUCAAGGUUGAUGAAUCAUCGCGAAACUUUAUCCAAUGCAAUAUUCUGAAAAAGGAACGAGAUCGUCGAACACCGAUAAUGUUAUUAUAAAUUUCUCAAUAAGAAUGAUCGCCCAUUGAAACGCGUAACCCGAUCGUUCCGCUAAGAUGAUUAUUAUUAUUAUUUAUUUAUUUAUUUUUUUUGGAACGUUAUGCUUCGCGAGAUCAAUUCGGUAUCACUAUACUUUCCACUUGGAUCGUGACGAUUUAUUCGAGAAUUUAAUAUUUUUAAUAAAAAUUAUUUCAACGUCGAGAGAUCGUUCAAAGUUAAUUUGAAAAUCGGUUGUCGGAAGAGGAGGGGGGAGGAAAAAAAGUUAACGAUUGAUAAAAUUUGUCGAUUCAUUCUGUGAAUUAGUAUUUUAAAUUAUAAUUUAAAUACCAUAUGCGCAUUUUUCUUCUCCAAUAUUUUUACGAGAAAUUUACAAACACGAUUAUUUCUUUUUUUUUACAAGGGUAAUUUACAAUAACAAAGACAAUUUUCUUCAUUUUUUCUCAUCAUAUUUCCUUUAAUCUCAAGAAUUUUUUCUUUUUUUUUGUUUUUUUUUUCAAUACUUUAAUGUUAUAAAAAUGGUUACAAAUUAAAAAGUAAAUCGCUCGAAGUGUCCGCUCUUCUUUUUUUUUUUUUUUGUACAAAGAAAGAUAAGAAAAAGUAUAACAACUAGAUCGAUCGUGAACGAAUCCUCUGGCGAUUUAAGAUUCUUUCUUCGAAAUGGCGGCCAUGAUGAUUCUUCGGAGGAUGAUUCUUCAUCGAAGGAUGCACAGGUACUUUGUCUGGUGAUGCGCUCGAAUAAAUAUUAAGCUAUUUACAAAGCGAUGAACAAUAUUGCUCCUCGUAUUAUAUCGGCAGAUUUUUUCUCUCUAAAAAUGAUUUAUCGUGAUUUAAUGAAACAAUUUAAUGAAACAUUGCCUCGAAAUAUAUCUAUCGACGAAUUCGUAAAGAAAAAAAUUUUCUCAAAAAAGGAUAUUUUUAAAUAUAUCGGAACGAAAAAAAAAUAAAAAAUAAAAAAUAUACGCGUAUAUCAAAUAUGCAAAUAUGAGAAUGUAUUUAUGAUGAUGCGAGUCUCGGUUUAUAAAUUAAAAAAUAAAAAAAAAGGAGGCAGAAAAUAAAAUAAAAUAAAAUAAAAUAAUAUAAAAAAAAAAGAGAAAUAAAGAAUAGGAUGAACAGAUAAGGUGACGGAUUAUUUAAAAUUAAAUAAAAUAAUUUUCAAUGCGAAGCAACAGUUUCCAAGAAUGAUCGUCCCUCACCGUGAAAACUAGUUGUAUAUAAUUUUCCUGGCUCUCAAGGAGUGAGAUACAAAAAAAAAUUGCUCAAUACUUAUGCAUACAUAAUAAUCAUGCGCAUUUCGAGAACAUCGCUAUAUACAUUAUUAUUACAUCAUCAUCAUCAUCAUCAUCAUAAUCAUCUAUUUAAUACAUCCGAUAGAUGAACACGGGGCGUCAAUAAUAUAACAUCGAUAAUAAAGUAUAAAACCGCGAGACAUUUAUCUAACGUCUUUAAUUCGUAGCGUGAGGCGAGAAAUUCGAACGCUGCUCUCAGCCCGAUCUCAGGAUCCCCCGCCGAUUCAAUGGGGAGGAAUCUGAAUCGAUUUCAGUCGUUUACACGAGACAUCACGUAUCAUAUGUACAUUAAAAAAAAUAUCACGAUACAUGAACGCGAGAUAAUCAUGGAUGACAUCGUGGUCAAUCGUAAAAAAAAAAAAAAAAAAAAGAAA